CCGCGGUGAAUACGUUCCCGGGCCUUGUACACACCGCCCGUCACACCACGAAAGUUGGCACUGCCCAAAUCCCUUCGGGGCCUAAGGCAUUGUUGAUGAGUUGGGGUG
rnacentral:rRNA from 1 species